rnacentral:rRNA from 1 species
CUUGCGUAGAUCUUACACAUGCAGUCGACGAUGAAGCCCUUCGGGGUGGAUUAGUGGCGAACGGGUGAGUAACACGUGGGCAAUCUGCCCUGCACUCUGGGACAAGCCCUGGAAACGGGGUCUAAUACCGGAUAUGACUGUCCGCCGCAUGGUGGAUGGUGUAAAGCUCCGGCGGUGCAGGAUGAGCCCGCGGCCUAUCAGCUUGUUGGUGAGGUAGUGGCUCACCAAGGCGACGACGGGUAGCCGGCCUGAGAGGGCGACCGGCCACACUGGGACUGAGACACGGCCCAGACUCCUACGGGAGGCAGCAGUGGGGAAACUAAUUUGGCAAGCAAUGGGCGGAAAGCACUGAUGCAAGCGAACGCCGCGUGAGGGCAUGACGGCCAUACGGGUUGUAAAUCCUCUUUCAGCAUGGGAAAGAAGCGAGAGUGACGGUACCUGCAGAAGAAGCGCCGGCUAACUACGUGCCAGCAGCCGCGGUAAUACGUAGGGCGCAAGCGUUGUCCGGAAUUAUUGGGCGUAAAGAGCUCGUAGGCGGCUUGUCACGUCGGUUGUGAAAGCCCGGGGCUUAACCCCGGGUCUGCAGUCGAUACGGGCAGGCUAGAGUUCGGUAGGGGAGAUCGGAAUUCCUGGUGUAGCGGUGAAAUGCGCAGAUAUCAGGAGGAACACCGGUGGCGAAGGCGGAUCUCUGGGCCGAUACUGACGCUGAGGAGCGAAAGCGUGGGGAGCGAACAGGAUUAGAUACCCUGGUAGUCCACGCCGUAAACGGUGGGCACUAGGUGUGGGCAACAUUCCACGUUGUCCGUGCCGCAGCUAACGCAUUAAGUGCCCCGCCUGGGGAGUACGGCCGCAAGGCUAAAACUCAAAGGAAUUGACAGGGGGCCCGCACAAGCGGCGGAGCAUGUGGCUUAAUUCGACGCAACGCGAAGAACUCUUACCAAGGCUUGACAUACACCGGAAACGUCUGGAGACAGGCGCCCCCUUGUGCUCGGUGUACAGGUGGUGCAUGGUCUGUCGUCAGCUCGUGUCGUGAGAUGAUUGGGUUCAAGUUCCCGCAACGAGUCGCAAACCCUUGUCCCGUGAUGCCAUGCAGACCCUUGUGGUGCUGAGGACUCACCGCAGUACCGUCAGGGGUCCACACUCGGCAGGAAGGUGGGGACGACGUCAAGUCAUCAUGCCCCUUAUGUCUUGGGCUGCACACGUGCUACAAUGGCCGGUACAAUGAGCUGCGAUACCGUGAGGUGGAGCGAAUCUCAAAAAGCCGGUCUCAGUUCGGAUUGGGGUCUGCAACUCGACCCCAUGAAGUCGGAGUCGCUAGUAAUCGCAGAUCAGCAUUGCUGCGGUGAAUACGUUCCCGGGCCUUGUACACACCGCCCGUCACGUCACGAAAGUCGGUAACACCCGAAGCCGGUGGCCCAACCCCUUGUGGGAGGGAGCUGUCGAAUAUGCACCC